rnacentral:rRNA from 1 species
GACGAACGCUGGCGGCGUGCUUAACACAUGCAAGUCGAACGAGAGCGUAGAGAAAGCUUGCUUUUUCUACAAUCUAGUGGCAAACGGGUGAGUAACGCGUAAACAACCUGCCCUACGGAUGGGGACAACAGCUGGAAACGGCUGCUAAUACCGAAUACGUUCCGAAAGUCGCAUGACUAUCGGAAGAAAGGAUGGCCUCUAUUUAUAAGCUAUCGCCGGAGGAGGGGUUUGCGUCUGAUUAGCUAGUUGGAGGGGUAACGGCCCACCAAGGCGACGAUCAGUAGCCGGUCUGAGAUGAUGGACGGCCACAUUGGGACUGAGACACGGUCCAGACUCCUACGGGAGGCAGCAGUGGGGAAUCUUCCGCAAUGGGCGAAAGCCUGACGGAGCAACGCCGCGUGAGUGAAGACGGCCUUCGGGUUGUAAAGCUCUGUUAUACGGGACGAAUAAUCUUGUGGUUAAUACCCAUGAGAAGUGACGGUACCGUAAGAGAAAGCCACGGCUAACUACGUG